rnacentral:rRNA from 1 species
CACUCCUGCGGGAGGCAGCAGUGGGGAAUAUUGGACAAUGGGCGCAAGCCUGAUCCAGCCAUGCCGCGUGAGUGAUGAAGGCCCUAGGGUUGUAAAGCUCUUUCACCGGAGAAGAUAAUGACGGUAUCCGGAGAAGAAGCCCCGGCUAACUUCGUGCCAGCAGCCGCGGUAAUACGAAGGGGGCUAGCGUUGUUCGGAAUUACUGGGCGUAAAGCGCACGUAGGCGGAUCGAUCAGUCAGGGGUGAAAUCCCAGGGCUCAACCCUGGAACUGCCUUUGAUACUGUCGAUCUGGAGUAUGGAAGAGGUGAGUGGAAUUCCGAGUGUAGAGGUGAAAUUCGUAGAUAUUCGGAGGGACACCAGUGGCGAAGGCGGCUCACUGGUCCAUUACUGACGCUGAGGUGCGAAAGCGUGGGGAGCAAACAGGAUUAGAUACCCGAGUAGUCCCA